CCACACUUGGUGAAAAUGGUAAACACGACAGACUCAAAAUCUGUUCCAUUCAAACGCGGUUCGAAUCCGAUAGCGAGUG
rnacentral:tRNA from 1 species